rnacentral:lncRNA from 1 species
GGGCACUGUCGUUGGUUGAGGUCAUCCACGCUUCUCAUUUUCCUCCUUAGGUUCACCAUGAGGUACAGCCUUGUACCACCCCCCAGUGUCUCCUUGAAUUUGCUGGCCUUGCGUCUGAGCUCAGUCUGGGAUUCUGAUGACACCAGUUGCCCAGCAUGGCUUCCAUUAACUGUAGGAAAUAGGAGUUUCUCUUUGGAGAAGAGAACUGAGUGGAACAUUCACUCUGCGUCUUUUUCCCCUGGGUUUGCCAGUUGUGAUUGAUGAAGUCAGCUUUCAAUAAAACCUGUAACUGAACGGACAAAUAUCUAAAAAUAAGUUCAAAGAGAAAUAGAGAGAAGAAAAGGCUUUGACCAUAAAUCAUUCAUAGGAUUCCUCACAUGAGCAGAAUAGAAACAAGACUGCCACAUUCUCAGAAUCACAGACCGCCACAGCCAUAGACGAGAGCUCCUCUCUGGACUUGGAGAGGAAGGCCCGGCUGGGUGC